rnacentral:rRNA from 1 species
CCCUUAGAUGUUCUGGGCCGCACGCGCGCUACACUGACGCAUUCAACGAGUCUCCUUGGCCGAGAGGCCUGGGUAAUCUUGUGAACGUGCGUCGUGAUAGGGAUAGAUUAUUGCAAUUAUUAAUCUUGAACGAGGAAUUCCUAGUAAACGCAGAUCAUCAAUCUGCAUUGAUUACGUCCCUGCCCUUUGUACACACCGCCCGUCGCUACUACCGAUUGAAUGAUUUAGUGAGGACUUCGGACUGGGACCGAUGCGGCUUUCGGGCUGCGUCGGUAUUCUGGAAAGAUGUCCAAACUGUAUCAUUUAGAGGAAGUAAAANUCGUANCA